AAAGAAUAAGGAUCAGCCAGGUGUGGACUCCACCCCCACCCAGCAAUGACAUCCCGGUCAAGGCUGGGAGUCUACAGGUGGCUGCCAUGGGUGACCUAAUUUCAGUUUGUCUGUUUCAUUCCCUCGAGCUAAAGAUGUAGCCAGCAUCCAAAAACGAGCCGAGCUGUAAGAUAAUCUAUCUUUUUAACGUUAUGGUUCAUACGAUCUAAGACACUUGAGCUGGCUGGAGCACCGGGAAGGCGAAGGGCUUCCCUGGUUCUAGUUUCGGGUCUCAAUUCCCUCCGGAAGAGGACACCGGCUGGGCAACCGGGCCCGUGGGGACUGCGGGAACUGCAGGGACUGUGGGGACCUCCCACCCUGACUCCUGCGGCGCCUCUCUGCCCAGCUCUAGCACAGCAGCCUGCAGCUCGGCUGGGUGGCUGCUGCGAUCCCCAUGGGAACCACGCCGGUUGGGCGGGGCCGCCCUCCGCCCUGCUGUCCCCGCAGCCACUUGGCCGGGUCCCUGACCCCGCGCUGCAGGUCCAGAGGGUUUAAAUCGUGGAAGUCACAGCAUGGAGCGUCUGCAGGGAGAACGCCUGCUCCCAGGCUGUCCUAGCAGCCUGCUCGGGCUAGGGUGACCAGGUCCAUACCUUACUACGUCCACUCCUUGGUGUCCGUUCCUCGCCUGUGAACCCCGGAGGACAGCAAUUGCUCGGUGCUGCAGCUUCGAAAAAUGAAUGAGAGAGAGUGAGGCAAUAGAGGGAGGCAGGAUGGCCUUCCCUCCCAUGCAGUGGGGUCUUGGCGGUGCAGAGCCUGCCUUGAUUGCCUUGACUCUUUCCCCAAUCACCUUCUUAUUGAACCUGUUUCAGUACAGUGACAGUGGCAGUUGAUGGAUGCAGGAAAUCUUGAAAUAAGGAUCGCACAGACAGCCUCUACAUUUUGUCAGCCCUUCCAUCCCCUAUGCUAGGCGCCGAGGUGCUUGUGUGCUGGCGGCAGGGCUUCAGCAGAGAAAACGCACGACGAUGUGAAACCUGGCCAACCCGGGGCAAGGAACGUGCGAUGCAAAUGUACACAGAGCUCAAGAGGAAGCUGGGUCUGGGCAUACCGAGCGUGACGGCUGCCUGGCAAAGGGUAGAGAUGUGUUCUCGCUUCAGGAUUCUAAGAGACUUAUGGAAAUUUUUUGGCGCCAACACCUCUCUCUUCCCUAAUGGGCUGCAGUUCUCACUUGGGACAUGACAAAAGGCAGAAGGACAAACAAACAAACAAACAAAACCCCUCUAGUUGAUUGAAUUAAGUACAAGAUGGCGAUCUUAUUACUAAUUUCCAUACUUGGGUGGAGCUCAGGACCCUGUGCUCGCCAGUCCUGUUCAAUUACACAAUCUGCCAUUUGAGGAAGCAGACCCAAGAGUAUGUCUAUCUAUCUAGUGACUUAUCUUUAAGGACUCAAACAUGCCAAGUGAUGGAAUGCCACAAAGUGAUGGAGAUUGUGACUCUGCCUUGGGUGCCCUCCUCACUGCUCUGGGGAAAGCUUCGCGUAUUCCACAGAGAGGACCUGACAGACCAAGAGGCAGGGAAGAACUGAGAAAGUUAGUCCUGUCAGCAUCCCUGUGAGUGAGUCGGGAAGGUGGUCUCCACUGACAAAUUCAGUUUAACCUGUGAAAAAGAGGACCGGAGGAUCCACUUGAGCCAAACCUGGAUAACUAGCCUGAGAGACAAAUGUUGCUUGUUACGCUCUGGGUGAUUUGUUGUGCAAAAAUAGAACUACCCUUUUAUAGUGUCAAUAAGUUCUCUUUAAUUCCUAUUUCCUUAGAUAACAAGAAUUGAGUUCCUUUAAAAAAAAAAUCACCAACAAGUGCAGAACUUAUUAAAUUCUCUACUUC
ensembl:antisense